rnacentral:rRNA from 1 species
GAUGAACGCUAGCUACAGGCUUAACACAUGCAAGUCGCGGGGUAACAUCUGGUAGAGCUUGCUCUUCCAGGAUGACGACCGGCGCACGGGUGAGUAACGCGUAUCCAACCUGGCCCAUACCACGGGAUAGCCCGUCGAAAGGCGGAUUAAUACCGUAUGCUGUCAUUAAGAUGCAUAUAUUGAUGACGAAAGGACUGGCGGUAUGGGAUGGGGAUGCGUCUGAUUAGCUUGUUGGCGGGGUAACGGCCCACCAAGGCGACGAUGCGUAGGGGUUCUGAGAGGAAGGUCCCCCACACUGGUACUGAGACACGGACCAGACUCCUACGGGAGGCAGCAGUGAGGAAUAUUGGUCAAUGGGCGAGAGCCUGAACCAGCCAAGUCGCGUGAGGGAAGACGGUCCUACGGAUUGUAAACCUCUUUUGUCGGGGAGUAAUAGGCGGGACGUGUCCUGCUGUGAGAGUACCCGAAGAAAAAGCAUCGGCUAACUCCGUGCCAGCAG